GUCUGUAUGAAGUUAUAUGGAGUCUAACCUGCCCAUUGAAUAAAUUGAAAGGCCGCGGUAUAUUAACUGUGCAAAGGUAGCAUAAUCAUUAGUUUUUUAAUUGAAGGCUUGUAUGAACGGUUGGACAAAGGAUAAUCUGUUUUUAUUUUUGUUUUUGAAUUUAACUUUUAAGUGAAAAGGCUUAAAUAAAUUUAAGGGACGAUAAGACCCUAUAAAUCUUUACAAUAAGUUGUUUUUUAGUUAAUUUAUAAUGUAAAUAAAGAAUAAAUAUAGCAAUUGUUAUAUUGGGGUGAUAAGAAUAUAAAUAAUUAACUGUUCUAAUUUAGAAUCAAAGUUGUUUGAAAAUAAUAGAUCCUUUUUAGAGAUUAAAAGUUUAAGUUACUUUAGGGAUAACAGCGUAAUUUUUCUUGAGAGUUCUAAUCGAAAGAAAAGUUUGCGACCUCGAUGUUGAAUUAAAAUUUCUUUAUGGUGUAGUAGUUAUAAAAGAGAGUCUGUUCGACUUUUAAAUUUUU
rnacentral:rRNA from 1 species